rnacentral:rRNA from 1 species
UUUUCGUCAAUGGGGGAAACCCUGAACGAGCAAUGCCGCGUGAGUGAAGAAGGUCUUCGGAUCGUAAAGCUCUGUUGUAAGUGAAGAACGGCUCAUAGAGGAAAUGCUAUGGGAGUGACGGUAGCUUACCAGAAAGCCACGGUUAACUACGUGCCAGCAGCCGCGGUAAUACGUAGGUGGCAAGCGUUAUCCGGAAUCAUUGGGCGUAAAGGGUGCGUAGGUGGCGUACUAAGUCUGUAGUAAAAGGCAAUGGCUCAACCAUUGUAAGCUAUGGAAACUGGUAUGCUGGAGUGCAGAAGAGGGCGAUGGAAUUCCGCGUGUAGCGGUAAAAUGCGUAGAUAUAUGGAGGAACACCAGUGGCGAAGGCGGUCGCCUGGUCUGUAACUGACACUGAGGCACGAAAGCGUGGGGAGCAAAUAGGA